rnacentral:tRNA from 1 species
AUCUGGCUGGCUCAAUCAGAAGAGCAUGAGACUUUUGAUCUCAGUUAUGAGUUCCAGCCCCAUGUUGGGUG